CCUACGAGGCGCAGCAGUGGGGAAUAUUGCACAAUGGGGGAAACCCUGAUGCAGCGACGCCGCGUGAGUGAAGAAGUAAUUCGUUAUGUAAAGCUCUAUCAGCAGGGAAGAAAAUGACGGUACCGGAGUAAGAAGCCACGGCUAACUACGUGCCAGCAGCCGCGGUAAUACGAAGGGUGCAAGCGUUAUCCGGAUUUACUAGGUGUAAAGGGCGCGUAGACGGCCCUGCAAGUCUGGAGUGAAAGGCGGGGGCUCAACCCCCGGACUGUUCUGGAAACGGUACGGCUGGAGUGCAGGAGAGGUAAGUGGAAUUCCUAGUGUAGCGGAGAAAUGCGUAGAUAUUAGGAGGAACACCAGGGGCGAAGGCGGCUUACUGGACUGUAACUGACGUUGAGGCUCGAAAGCGUGGGGAGCAAACAGGAUUAGAUACCCCUGUAGUC
rnacentral:rRNA from 1 species